GUUUAAGCAUGCAUGGGAUAGGCAUAAGGCUAUCCUAACUAUAAGAUAAGGCUAGGGACUAAUGAAAGUUUUUAGAAAAUUGGGCAGACUAGAUGGGCCGAAUGGUUCUUAUCUGCCGUCACAUUCUAUGUUUCUAUGUUUCUAAGUUAGGCAGCACACCUAGCCUCUCCCUGGCAACCCCCCUAAAAUCAUCCCCACAUUUAAUGCCCUACCGUGGUACCAAGGAGGUGCAACGCACCUUUACCACCAAUUUGAUACCCAUAAACUACUAGACUACACGAGCCUAGCCGACAAAUACGUGCUCCCACAGUCC